GACGAAGGGGACUAGCGUUGUUCGGAAUUACUGGGCGUAAAGCGAGUGUAGGUGGUUGUCCAAGUUGGAUGUGAAAGCCUUGAGCUCAACUCAAGAAAUGCAUUCAGGACUGGGCGGCUAGAGGACCGGAGAGGAUAGUGGAAUUCCCAGUGUAGUGGUGAAAUACGUAGAGAUUGGGAAGAACACCAGUGGCGAAGGCGGCUAUCUGGACGGUUUCUGACACUAAGACUCGAAAGCGUGGGGAGCAAACAGG
rnacentral:rRNA from 1 species